GGGCGGACAGGGGGCGGUGUUCAGAACGUUCUAUGCUGCCUCCGAUUGUUACGUCUUCUGUUAUAACUUUGUUGUGAUCUGUAGCAAUGGCGGGCAUCGCUUGACUUCAAAAAGAAAAGCUACUCCGAAAAACACGAUUUAAAGGAAUUUCUGGAUCAUUAUUAUGGUAUUAAACAGAUUAAAAUUACGACACGAGUUGGUAAAAGGUGUUGCUAUGUCCCGUAUUUCGUGCCACUCAAGAGACCUGGGAGGACAGUUUGACAGGCGGAAUCGAGGUGCACUUCUUCACACUUCAUGGGAUGUCAGCCGAGAUAUUCUAACUGCUGCUUGACAGGAGGAUGAGGUAGCUGCAAGAUCUACUGAACAUGAACGAUGAAGAGCCUACUGACAGCUGUUGGCUGUUCGCCUAAUGCACAAUGUUGACCUGGGUGUUCCCUAUUCAGAUGCUGCUGCCGUCAGUCCACGGAUGUACACAAACGGGUCACCUGAAGGAAGAGGGGGGUCAACGAAACCAAACAAGUUUUGAAAGCAGAGGUGACAUUGCCAGUGUGUCCAACUCUUCAGAGGAGAGCCAGUGGAGGUGGUACGCACAUCAUCCAGGACCAGUUAUGGACCACCAACACCUCUGCCAAGUCUAUCUACACUUCUUGUGAACCAUGUUAAAAACUACCACAAACACUACUCGUAAACAACUGAAUCUAUCAUUAUAUACUGCAUCAUGCCAUGGUACUCAAACUGCACCUCAGACCCUAAGAUUUUACAGUGCAUCAUCAAAAAUCUCUGUGGAUCACUGGUGCCUAACUCUACACAUUAGAGAGAUUUCUUCAGUGCAUGUGCGAUUACACCAGGAAUCACAGCAAUGUUAUUGUGGGAAAAAAACAAUGCCCCAUACAUUAUUUCAUAUUAGGCACAUUUACACCCAUGACAUUCAAGAUC